rnacentral:pre_miRNA from 1 species
AAAAAGGGUAAACCUUGGGUUUCCAUGUCCAACUUUGACUGUAUGUCUUAUAUGAAAUUUUUUUUAUAAUUCGUAUUUUCAUUGUUGUUAGAUGAUAAAACAUGAUUAAUAUUUUAUGCAUGACUUGUCUUUUUAAUUUUUUUUCAUAAUUUUUUUAAAUAAGACGGACGGUUAAACGUUGGGCAUGGAAACCAGGGUU